UGGGGAAUUUUGCACAAUGGGGGAAACCCUGAUGCAGCGACGCCGCGUGAUUUAGAAGGCCUUCGGGUUGUAAAAAUCUUUUCUAUGGGAAGAAAAUGACAGUACUAUACGAAUAAGGACCGGCUAAUUACGUGCCAGCAGCCGCGGUAAUACGUAAGGUCCGAGCGUUGUCCGGAAUCAUUGGGCGUAAAGGGUACGUAGGCGGGUAAGCAAGUUAGAAGUGAAAUCCUAUAGCUCAACUAUAGUAAGCUUUUAAAACUGCUCAUCUUGAGGUAUGGAAGGGAAAGUGGAAUUCCUAGUGUAGCGGUGAAAUGCGCAGAUAUUAGGAGGAAUACCGGUGGCGAAGGCGACUUUCUGGCCAUAACCUGACGCUGAGGUACGAAAGCGUGGGUAGCAAACAGG
rnacentral:rRNA from 1 species